rnacentral:rRNA from 1 species
CAUGCAGUCGAGGGGUAUAGUUCUUCGGGACUAGAGACCGGCGCACGGGUGCGUAACGCGUAUGCAAUCUACCUUUUACAGAGGGAUAGCCCAGAGAAAUUUGGAUUAAUACCUCAUAGUAUAUAGCCCUGGCAUCAGGAUUAUAUUAAAGUCACAACGGUAAAAGAUGAGCAUGCGUCCCAUUAGCUAGUUGGUAAGGUAACGGCUUACCAAGGCUACGAUGGGUAGGGGUCCUGAGAGGGAGAUCCCCCACACUGGUACUGAGACACGGACCAGACUCCUACGGGAGGCAGCAGUGAGGAAUAUUGGACAAUGGGCGCAAGCCUGAUCCAGCCAUGCCGCGUGCAGGAUGACGGUCCUAUGGAUUGUAAACUGCUUUUAUACGAGAAGAAACACUCCUUCGUGAAGGAGCUUGACGGUAUCGUAAGAAUAAGGAUCGGCUAACUCCGUGCCAGCAGCCGCGGUAAUACGGAGGAUCCAAGCGUUAUCCGGAAUCAUUGGGUUUAAAGGGUCCGUAGGCGGUUUAAUAAGUCAGUGGUGAAAGCCCAUCGCUCAACGGUGGAACGGCCAUUGAUACUGUUAGACUUGAAUUAUUAGGAAGUAACUAGAAUAUGUAGUGUAGCGGUGAAAUGCUUAGAGAUUACAUGGAAUACCAAUUGCGAAGGCAGGUUACUACUAAUUGAUUGACGCUGAUGGACGAAAGCGUGGGUAGCGAACAGGAUUAGAUACCCUGGUAGUCCACGCCGUAAACGAUGGAUACUAGCUGUUGGAAGCAAUUUCAGUGGCUAAGCGAAAGUGAUAAGUAUCCCACCUGGGGAGUACGUUCGCAAAAAUGAAACUCAAAGGAAUUGACGGGGGCCCGCACAAGCGGUGGAGCAUGUGGUUUAAUUCGAUGAUACGCGAGGAACCUUACCAAGGCUUAAAU